ACGGCUCAGUAACACGUCAAUAACCUGCCCUUAAGUAAAGCAUAACUUCGGGAAACUGAGGAUAAUUCUUUAUAGAUAAUAAAUACUGGAAUGUUUUAUUGUCUAAAGCUUCGGUGCUUAAGGAUGGGUUGGCGGCUGAUUAGGUAGUUGGCGGGAUAAAGGCCCACCAAGCCAAAAAUCAGUAGGGGCCUUGAGAGAGGUAGCCCCGAGAAGGACACUGAGACACGGGUCCUAGCCCUACGGGGUGCAGCAGGCGCGUAACCUUUACAAUGCACGAAAGUGUGAUAAGGGAACCCCAAGUGCUUACACAUUGUGUAGGCUUUUGCCAAGAGUAGGUAUCUUGGCGAAUAAGUGGUGGGUAAGAAGGGUGCCAGCCGCCGCGGUAAUACCCACGCCACAAGUGGCAGUCGCUAUUAUUGGGCCUAAAGCGUUCGUAGCAGGUUUUGUAAAUCUCUUGUGAAAUUGUUGUGCUUAACAUAACGAAUUGCGAGGGACACUGCAAAACUAGAGACCGGGAA
rnacentral:rRNA from 1 species